AACGCAGCGAAGGGCGAUAAGUAGUGUGAAUUGCAGAAUUCAGUGAAUCAUCGAAUCUUUGAACGCACAUUGCGCCUCAUGGUAUCCCAUGGGGCAUGCCUUCCGGAGCGUCGGGAAAACCCCCUUCAAGCAUUUUUUUGCUUGGUUGUGGAGGCUGAGCGUUGCCUGUUCGAGCGUCAUUAUGACCAAUCAAGCUCUGCUUGGCCUUGGGGCCCGCUGUACCGGCGGCCCUUAAAAUCAGUGGCGGUGCCGUCUGGCUCUAAGCGUAGUAAUACUUCUCGCUACAGGGUCCAGCCGUCCACCCGCCAGAACCCCCAACUUUCUUAGGUUGACCUCGGAUCAGGUAGGGAUACCCGCUGAACUUAA
rnacentral:rRNA from 1 species